ACCACCAUGACCACCACCACCACCAUGACCACCGCCACCACCACCACCACCACCACCACCACCACCACCACCACCACCACCACCACAGCACUCAGCGUGGCACAGAAGGAACAGAGCCAGGCGGAAAACAAGGACUAAGAUCCACUGCCACUUCCAAAUAAGGCUACCACCACCAUGACCACCAUGACCACCACCACCACCAUGACCACCGCCACCACCACCACCACCACCACCACCACCACCACCACCACCACCACCACCACCACCACCACCACAGCACUCAGCGUGGCACAGAAGGAACAGAGCCAGGCGGAAAACAAGGACUAAGAUCCACUGCCACUUCCAAAUAAGGCUACCACCACCAUGACCACCAUGACCACCACCACCACCAUGACCACCGCCACCACCACCACCACCACCACCACCACCACCACCACCACCACCACCACCACAGCACUCAGCGUGGCACAGAAGGAACAGAGCCAGGCGGAAAACAAGGACUAAGAUCCACUGCCACUUCCAAAUAAGGCUACCACCACCAUGACCACCAUGACCACCACCACCACCAUGACCACCGCCACCACCACCACCACCACCACCACCACCACCACCACCACCACCACCACCACCACCACAGCACUCAGCGUGGCACAGAAGGAACAGAGCCAGGCGGAAAACAAGGACUAAGAUCCACUGCCACUUCCAAAUAAGGCUACCACCACCAUGACCACCAUGACCACCACCACCACCAUGACCACCGCCACCACCACCACCACCACCACCACCACCACCACCACCACCACCACCACCACCACAGCACUCAGCGUGGCACAGAAGGAACAGAGCCAGGCGGAAAACAAGGACUAAGAUCCACUGCCACUUCCAAAUAAGGCUAUCACCACCAUGACCACCAUGAUCACCACCACCACCAUGACCACCGCCACCACCACCACCACCACCACCACCACCACCACCACCACCACCACCACCACAGCACUCAGCGUGGCACAGAAGGAACAGAGCCAGGCGGAAAACAAGGACUAAGAUCCACUGCCACUUCCAAAUAAGGCUACCACCACCAUGACCACCAUGACCACCACCACCACCAUGACCACCGCCACCACCACCACCACCACCACCACCACCACCACCACCACAGCACUCAGCGUGGCACAGAAGGAACAGAGCCAGGCGGAAAACAAGGACUAAGAUCCACUGCCACUUCCAAAUAAGGCUACCACCACCAUGACCACCAUGACCACCACCACCACCAUGACCACCGCCGCCACCACCACCACCACCACCACCACCACCACCACCACCACCACCACCACCACCACCACCACAGCACUCAGCGUGGCACAGAAGGAACAGAGCCAGGCGGAAAACAAGGACUAAGAUCCACUGCCACUUCCAAAUAAGGCUACCACCACCAUGACCACCAUGACCACCACCACCACCAUGACCACCGCCACCACCACCACCACCACCACCACCACCACCACCACCACCACCACCACCACCACCACCACCACCACCACCACCACCACCACCACCACAGCACUCAGCGUGGCACAGAAGGAACAGAGCCAGGCGGAAAACAAGGACUAAGAUCCACUGCCACUUCCAAAUAAGGCUACCACCACCAUGACCACCAUGACCACCACCACCACCAUGACCACCACCACCACCAUGACCACCACCACCACCACCACCACCACCACCACCACCACCACCACCACCACCACCACCACCACCACCACCACCACCACCACCACCACCACCACCACCACCACAGCACUCAGCGUGGCACAGAAGGAACAGAGCCAGGCGGAAAACAAGGACUAAGAUCCACUGCCACUUCCAAAUAAGGCUACCACCACCAUGACCACCAUGACCACCACCACCACCAUGACCACCACCACCACCAUGACCACCACCACCACCACCACCACCACCACCACCACCACCACCACCACCACCACCACCACCACCACCACCACCACCACCACCACCACCACCACCACAGCACUCAGCGUGGCACAGAAGGAACAGAGCCAGGCGGAAAACAAGGACUAAGAUCCACUGCCACUUCCAA